rnacentral:rRNA from 1 species
CACUCCUGCGGGAGGCAGCAGUGGGGAAUUUUGGACAAUGGGCGAAAGCCUGAUCCAGCAAUGCCGCGUGAGUGAAGAAGGCCUUCGGGUUGUAAAGCUCUUUUGUCAGGGAAGAAACGGUGAAAGCUAAUAUCUUUUGCUAAUGACGGUACCUGAAGAAUAAGCACCGGCUAACUACGUGCCAGCAGCCGCGGUAAUACGUAGGGUGCAAGCGUUAAUCGGAAUUACUGGGCGUAAAGCGUGCGCAGGCGGUUUUGUAAGUCUGAUGUGAAAUCCCCGGGCUCAACCUGGGAAUUGCAUUGGAGACUGCAAGGCUUGAAUCUGGCAGAGGGGGGUAGAAUUCCACGUGUAGCAGUGAAAUGCGUAGAUAUGUGGAGGAACACCGAUGGCGAAGGCAGCCCCCUGGGUCAAGAUUGACGCUCAUGCACGAAAGCGUGGGGAGCAAACAGGAUUAGAAACCCUAGUAGUCCCAUGA